CUUUAUUCUCAAUCUUGGCCAAGUUCCCACUGGAAAGUUUUUAAAAAUGCCAGUGUCCAGAUGUCUUGUGGACCCUUGUUAUUCAAAUUCUGGUCCACUACCAGCAGCAUUAGCAUCUAUGGGAGUUUGUUAAUGAUCUCAGGUCCCAUACCAGACCUUGAAUCAAAAUCUGCACUUUUGUAAAUUCCCCAGGAGAUUUACAUACCCAUUAAAAUUUGAGUCACAUUGCCUUAGAGUCACUGGAAGGAUUUGUUUAAACACAGAUUUUUAUUUUUUUUUAGGUCAGGGGUGGAGCUUGUGAAUUUGCAUUUCUAACAAAUUCCCCAGUGCUACCAAGGCUGCUGCAGAUCUGAGACUGUGUUUUGAGAAUUUCUGCCAUAAAUCAAUUAAAUUGGAAUCUCCCUGGAUAGGACCCAGGCACCAGUAUAUUUCAAAGCUCUCUAAGUGGUUCUAAUUUGCAGCCACAGUAGAGAACCGCCGGUAAAGCUUCAUCUGUUUCUCCUUCCACAUCUUCAGCUCUGUCCCUGACUACAUGAAGAGUUGAGUCUCCAUGUCUUCCUGGUUUAGCAUCACGGUGGUUUACUUUCACAUGAACUAAGUCAUAAAAAAAGAGACCCUGCUGAAAUUUCUCCAAGAUACUCCACAACAACAGGACAGUUUCCCCAUCUGGGUAUUUCUCCUGCCAAAUGAUGGAGACCAAAUGAUGGAAAAGCUCUUUCUUCUGGGUUCAAACCAGACCUUCUCUACGACUACCACGAGGAAACCCAGAGCAGUAAGUAUAUCUAACAUUUCACUCAUGUUUUGUCCCCACUUACAAAGCUAGGGGCUUGUGACUUAUCCUCAUAUUAGAAACCCUCUUAUCUGACAUGUUCAGAAUAGGUGGUUGACUCAUUUAUUAAAUAAAUGUAUUAAAGUCAAGAAUCUUCAAAAAACAAUACCUUAAACAUUCUUUAUAAAUGAAAACAUUUCAAUGCAUUUAGCUUGCUGCUCUUUUGAUGUAGGUCUUUGCUUUGAGUGUGAAUCUGCUAGUUAGAUUUCUACAAUGUCUUUACAUAAAGCCCAUCCAUUGUGCGUCAUCCAUGAUUUCCAAGUUUUUGUCAUUAUAAUAAAGUGAGAGAUUAAGACACUUGGAAACAAUCUGAGUUAACCAUUAUUCCCAUUUCCCCAGUCUUUUAUAGCUGUAGGUGUAGCACACCUACAGCUAACUGAACCACAAUUUUUCUUUAGCAAAUUGACUAGCAUUCUUUUAACUUUUCAUAUAAACACUUCUCUUAACUUGUGAAUGUCACAUUAGUUUACUUUAUAGUCAUUUACUAUAUUUACAUAGUAUAAUAGCAGUGCGACUAUCAUCAAAAGAUUUGGAACUCCUGGUAAACAGCCAUCACAAGGGGACCAGAAGCGCAUGCGUGUACUGAAAGACAGCCUUCUGCAGUGUCAUAGACAUUACCAAGUAGAUUUUAUGGAAAACAUAGCGUCUGCUCAUCUACUCAGAUGGAGAUGGGAUAAGGAAUCCACUCUUCUUUCUUGGGCUUGUAACUCUUGUAAAUUCCUGUUCAUUUAGAAAAGAAUCAAACAAAUAAACUGCAAAAGAACCUGUUUAACACCUGCCCCGACAUUACAACUAGAGAAUGACCUUAAUCAAAAGGCACAGAUCUAAACAAAAAUCUACAGGGAAGGAAGCAAAGAAUUCAAGGCAGAAAACAAGGGUGAACAGAGAAAAUUUUUUCCUCUGCAUUCUUCUGAAGAAAAGUCAUGUAUGAAUAUAACAUUUACUAAAGUAAAAAGAGAAAGAUACUACCUUACCAAGUGCUGUUCACUGCCACUCAAGUUACUGCCCACAGCUUCCCAAAUCAUCAAAGAUGGGUUGCAAUAAGAUGACCUUGAGAAUUCCUCUCAGGUUUCUUUGCACAAACCCUGACAAGUGAAUGACAUUUUUAAAGAAAAACCAGCAUACCACAUGGCUGGUUUGGCAAGUUUAUAAAGUUGUUUCAAAUGCAAUCACCAGUUUUGAGAUUUAAAAAGCAUUUUUAAAUGUCUUAUAGUACACAGACAAAAGGAACAAAGUGAGUUCAGUGUCUCUAACCAAAUAAAAAGCUUUGAAGAAGUAGCUGGCAUCAGUAAACAUGUUCUGACUGGAUGAUUUAAGCAGGGCACCCAUUUAAUACUACAGUUGCUCCUCCAUAGCUACAUUCAAUCUGCAUCACAAGGAUCCAGAAAACGUACUCAUUCUAAAAAGUACCUUAGGAACUCUUCAAGAAAUAGCAGAAAUUAGUUCAUUUCCUUAGUGACAGAAGAGAAUUAAGUCACCCUAGAAGGGGCAAUGUGGUUUUACCAGUCCCACAAAAUGUAACAAGCAACUAUAGAUAAUAAGCAAUAUUUUCUAAACAAGUAGCAACCUCAAGGAUCAUUUACAACAAUGAUAAAACCAAAUAGAAGACCUUCCUUCAUGCAUUUGAUCUCCAUAGACACUUAUUCUCCGUAAGUUGGGAGACACUUGUUUACAUAAAAUAAAACUCCAGCUAGUGAAAAAUGUGUAUCAGAAUACCUGCAAAUGAUAUUUUUGCAGAAACUGUACAAUAAUAGAGGUGGCCAAUGUGUGAUUCGUCACUGGCCAUUUUUAAGCUCCAGCCCAUUACGCUGACUACCAUUAUAGUUAUUUAAGCAUGAAAUGUUUGCCCUCAUUUUUAUUCAUAUGCUUCAUGGGCCAUUUGUUGUCAGCUAUAAAAUCAUUUACAAGGUAAUGGAGUUUACAGUUGAGAAAAACAAGAAGCCUCCUAAACAAUCUCAGAAUAUUGACUUAGUGUCAGGCAGGUGGCAUGAACUUAAAUUGAAUGUGAAACUGGAGUAAAAGGUGACUUUUUAACAAGCACUUUCUUAAAAAUAAAUGAGCAAGGGCUCUGCAGAUGUUCAGGUAUUGUUUCCCCUUUAAUAAGAAAGAGCUUAGCCAUAGAGGGAUGAGAACUUGGAAAUAACCUGCAAAGUCUUCACAGUUCACACACCACAACUGGAAAAAUUGGGCAAGACAAGACUAAUGUGAAAUAGAAUACCAUAUCUCACAACCACGCCGUCUACUAGAAAUGUUCUAUUUUCCAAUAAACAUAAAAAGUAAGACAUUUCAAAAAAUCUGUAAUGCCUACCAUGUGUGUGCAGGCACCAUUCUAGAUACCACAGAGGGAUAUGAAGAUGACAAGAACUUAGUUUUAAGAUAAAUACAUGAAUAACUUUAGCACAAAGUAGACUACAGCAGUGCUACAAACAAAACGUAUUCAUGCUGUAAUGUGAAGCUCACUAGUUGUCAGGUCCAGCCAAGAGAAUGAGUUCCACCCCAGUGCUGCUGUGUAGGGGAGGCGCCCCCUGCAGGCCUAAGAGUGCCACUGCAUACAUAUGCUUCCUCCACUACCUGGAAGCUCUUUGAAGAACUGAAGUUUUUAUUUAUUCUGGGUUCCUAGCACUUAGAUAAUAUCUAGGACAUAAAAAGAAGUUACUAAGUGUAAAAUGAAACCAUUUAAAUUAAAUUUCCUCCAUCCAGAAUUGGCCACUAUUCCUUCUUCCCCUUUCUCUACAUGUAUCUGUUCACGUUUCUAACACAUGAAAUAUAAAAUUUCUAAAUAUAAAAAUUCUAUCCAGCUUAAAAUGCUGAUUCUUCAUUAUAGAAAUAUCUCAUUUACGUCAAGUUUUCACCCCAGGCAGAAAUGUUAUAACUUUUCUCUGGAUUUUUCUAUAAUUCAUAUCCUUCAAUCUUCUAAAAUGGUUUGAAAUGACUAGGUUCUUAAAUCAAUUGUUGCAUCUAAGUCUCAUUUGACACUACUCCCCCAAAAAAGUUUUGUUUGACUAUUGCUAUGUGUAAACGUUUGCUUUUAUGUAUAAGCUCCUAGAGGAAACCAUUUGGCUCCUUCGUGAGGCCUCCAGCACCCUCAGGAAACAUCCAUUUACUGAUUUAACAAGAACUUAUUUAGCAUCAAUAUUGUUCCUGAAGCUAAAUAAAAUAUUGAUUAAAUGAAAUCAUAUUUCCAGAGAUGUUUGAAAGAUCCUUAGCCUUUGCAAACACUUAUCUCUUCUAACUCGGUGCUGUUUUGCUCAAAGGCUACUGGCACCCUGACUAAGACUAAAUACUCCAUUUACUUUUUGCCUUAAACCUUCAAGUACUGUCUUUCUCUGAGUCAUCUGCCUCCUGGAUAACAUUACAGACAACACAGACUGAUAAACCUUUAUCCAUGCCUUAUCUUACAUCAAAGAGAGUAUAAAGUUCAAUGAAAAAUAGUAAGCUUCUUUAUGAUUCUUCCUUAACUUGUACACAGGAGAUUCCUAGAUUCAAAAUGCAAAAGUCCUUUUUUUUCCCCCAUGAAAAUUUCAUGUCUCUUCAUUUGGUCCUUCAUAUUCCUAACAUAGCAAAAUAAAAACAAAAUGGUGAGAACACUAACUGUUUAGCUUUUAGCUCAUUGCUGGAUGCAUAGUAAAGACUGGACCAAAAAAAAAAAAUAGUUAACUAUUUUUAAUAGUAAUAAACAGGCAAAAAGUUUGUUAACUCUAAGGAAUCUUGUACAUAAGUGGAUAUUUUGUUUCACAGACAGUUCUCAUGUAAUCAGAGAUUUCAAAAGUCAACAUUCAGAAAAGUUUAUUUUAAAAAAUUUAAGAGCCACGCUGGGCGGUCUGUAGUGGGAAUUUUACAUGCAUUCAUUUUGAAGUUUCUCAUUUACAAGAGAUCAUUUGUGUUUCCUUCAGAGAACAUAAAGCACCUUUGUUACUUUUAAUCACAUGUCAAUGGUUUCAUUCUCGACACCAUGACCAUCCCAACAAGAACAUCAGCAAUCACAACAGGAUAUGAGUAUCUCACUUGAGCACUUCAUAGUCACCAGAUUGCAUCAUGUGUACCUCAUAUUUCUGAGAAUUCAUCCUCCAAUCUUAUAGAUUGCUAAUUUUCAUAUUAAACUAAAGCUGCUGAUUCACCUAAGAGAAAACAAAGAAAGAACAUGUACAAUUAUCUUUGAAUCAACAGCUGCUAUGCCCACUGAAAUAUUCCCCCUGUCUCACAUUGGAACACCAUCGCUCUGCUUUUGCAACUAAAAGGAGAUUGUUCUAAAUGCAGAUGAUGGGAAGGAUAAAUCAUCUUACUUUCAAGUCUUCCCCAGAGUGAUUUAAAGGAAAAUGUUUUAGAAAAUGUUUAUAACAUUUACAUUUGGGUGUUGUUUUUUUUUUUUUUGAAACACUAAAAAAAUCCAAUGUAGAAUGCUUAUAAAACUCCUUGAAGACCCCAAAACACAACAAAAAUGCCAGGUCCAGUAUAAGUGAAUUAAAUGUAUCUAUGGAAAUUCAAAAUAAAGACAAUUUGCUCUGAUUAAAAAAAAAACACUCUGGAGUAAAUUUCAAACAACUUGAGUGAUCCUAGAAAUCAUUAUAAUCUCUCACCAUCUGUGUCUUCUGACUUCUCCAUUCCUAACUUCUGUUCAGUUUUUCUCGUCACAGCCCCAAAGUGAAAAGCCUAUUUUAAAGGUUAUCCUCUCUUUUCCCACCUCUGUUGGGCAGACUUCCCUACUAUUAUAAUAGCAAUUAAAAAUAAUAAUAACUCUAGCCUACCAAUGACUGAGAUUGUUACAGAUCUCCUACUGGACCAUCCUCUGAUUAAAUGUUUGAAGCUCAAUUAAAAUGCAAAUUAACUGUAGACUAUAUAGUAAUUACAGCAAUAGCAGGACAGGAAAAAAAGUUUUGUCCAAGAAUGCAAAUCUUUGGAACUGUAAUUAAAUGUGUAAUUGUUUCUAUUUUACAGAAAUUUCUAUGACCUGGAAAGGGACCAGGAAAUCCUAGCUAAAAUGGUGUCCGAUUAGUAUAUUGCAAUCUGGCGGAAAAAAGUCACCUUAGAGACACAACAGUUUUAACCAUGUAUCUUUUAUGUCCUGUCACUGAGCUAAUUUUUCUUGAAUUGUUAAAUUGGGUGGGUUAACAUAGCAAAACCCUUUUAGUUCUUUUGGGAAAGGUUCAGGUCACUUGAUGACCUUCAAUAAUUUAUCAAUGAAGAAGAAACAUGUCUUUACAUAUGUUGAGAGAUGACUUCUAAAUAACAAGAGAUCAAUAUUUGCAUGUUUCAUAUGGGAGUGUAGGAACAGUGUACAUACAGGGCUUUAGUAAGAUAUAUGUCUGUAAAGAACAUAUGCUUAUUCAUAUGGCCCCCAUUUCACAUGACAGUGGCUGGUGGUGGGGGUGCCAGGAGGAUGUACAAUUGGAAUGCGAGAAAACCAACAGCAAUAAGAGAAGGACAGAAGGCACAAAGCACUGAAGGAGUCAUGAGAGGCAGAUGAUUAUAAGUCAUAAUGGUACAGAGAUCAGUUUGCAUUCUGAUGAUCUCAGAGAGGCAAAAAGUACCAGAAAGGAACAGAAGAAAUUAACAAUUGCCAAAAAAAUUAAGAAAAAACCACACCUUACAAGAAAUGACUGUGGCAGAGAAUUAGUAAUGGUUUAUCAAUAUGGAAUAAAUCAUAUUUAUAUAAAGCUAUAUAUUCCCAUGGAAUAUCUAUAGAAUAACCAAUGGGAGAGUGUGGACACACAGAAAAAGCAAUGGCAUCAUGAUUUCUACAAAUGUUCUUUCUCCCAAUAUAUUCAUCGUUACUGAAAAAUAUGAUACAAGUUGAUAAUAUAGACAGACAAAUUGUAAGUGCCCUAGCAGGAAAAAAGAGUCUGAAUAUUUUCUUAAGAACAAAAUGUUCUGCACUAUCUUGAAGGGAUGUGAAGUGGUAUCAAAAAUUGUUAGAAUCCUUUUGCUGCAUCUCUGUUGGCCCAAAGAAUAGCAUCUUUAAUGAACAAUGACCUGGGUACUGCUUCAACAUCUUGACAUGGCCACAAACCAUCUCAAAAUUGCUGACCUCCAUCAGAAAUUGAUAGUAUUGAUUCUAGCUUGGACAUUUUCAGGAAAAUGGAAAAGAAUUUAACCACUUGUCUUUCUUUAGCUCUAGUUUUAAAGUAGUGAUAUUCUAAAAGUAAAAGCCAACAAUAUACCAUAAAUUAAGUGUCAAGCUACUAACAAUAGCUAUUAGGCAAGUAAUACGUGAUUCCAUUUACCCAUAAGAAUAUUUACACUAGAAUAAAAUCCUUAGAAAAGAGAGAGAUGUUGCUAAUCAUUAGGAAAAUCUGGAAAACCUUUCAAGAAAAAAGGCCUGAAAAGACAGGUUUUUAAAUUUCAACCUCGCUAGUCAUCUAAGAAACACAAACAAAAUCAGUGAGAUUCACCUACAAAUAGUAAAAAAAUAAAAAAUCAUAAGAUGCAAGUUGAGCAAGCAGACAAUGAAACAAGCAUGCUGACAGAGAGUGGAACUUCCUUUUUAGAAAACAAUCUGGGAAAAGCCUUUGACCUGGCUGUUUCAAGCUGGGAAUCUACUCUGAGUAAAUAAUCUAAAAUUCAAAUAAAAAUGUAUGUAACCAGAUGUCCCCUGAAACAUUGCAGAUGAUACAAAGAAAUGACUAGCAAUGUAAGAAUGGUUAAGUAAAUUAUAUUAUAUUUAUAAUAGUACAUACAUGUUGUAAAGAGUUUUUAAUUACACAGGAAAACACUCAAAAUACUAAGCUGAAAAGCAGGACUUCACACUUUAUGCUAGAUGUGAUGUCAAACUCAUGCAUGUGUGUGUGAAUGUGUGAAUGUGUGCUUUCACAACCAUGCACACACUUUGAAUAUUGCAUUCUGAGAUCACUAUCUCUCUAAAGACACACAUUGUUUUUCUAAUGACAAAAACCACAUUAUUUAAAGAAUAAAAAUUUCAUAGUUUUCCAAUAAUGCUGUGCAGCUAGAACAAAAUAUCAUUUUGGACUUAUUAAAUUUGGUUAACAAUAAGUGAGAAUUAUGAGCUUCCAGACAAGGUCUAGGCAUGGUAAAGUACAGCCUAUCUUAACUACAUGCACAUUAUCCAUUUAAACAAGCUGAAAGCCAAACAUUUUGGGAUAUCAAAUAACACUUAUGAUUUAGAUAUAUUUGGUAUAUGAAAAGCAAAUCAUUCUUUGUACUGAGCCAUGCCAAGAAUCUUUAUUAACUUGUAAACUUCAGACAAAGCAGAAUAUAUUUGAAACAACAUAAAACACACUUUUUGCCAAGAUUCUAUAUAGAUCCUACAGUUCUUCCAAACAAGCCUAAACUUAAUGUUUAACUUAAUUUUGACCAUUAAACAUUUAUAACCUUUUGCUGUCAAGAGAUGUAAAAUCUGUUUCUCCUGAGUCUAUAGCUUUUAGACUUCGUUGCUGUGUAAAAUGUUUUUAUUUCUACACUAUAGAUGAGUGCCAAAUCAAAUGAAAGGUCUUCUUUCUCUUCCCCAGGAAAAGAUAUUACAAAGACUAGUAUUGUCAAUGAAUUGACAGAAAUUAUUUAUCAAUACCAAUAGAAGUGGAAAAGCUUUUAAUUUCUCUCAACCCUAAAACUAGUUUCCAUGAUUAUGUUAGCAUCAGAACAAAACUAAUUUUGAAAUGUCUCCUCUGUUUUGUGAUGUGGUCCAAAAUGGGAAUGGAUCUUUGUUUGACAAUAGACACUGAUGGGCACUCUAAAGGCUUCCUGAUGAUAUAGGGGACCUUUUCUCCAAUUCUUGCUUUUCUGUCUUUGGUCACGGUCAUUUCUAAGAGUACAAUUUCCUUUUCUUAUAGAAAAAAGACUAUUUCUAAAAUUAAUCUUGUUGAAGCAUGAUCAGAACAAUUUUUGAGCAUAAAUUCCCAAUUUACUUAAAAUAACUUUUCUUGAAAUUCUACACAGAAGUGGAAUACCUGUGCUCAUUUUUACCGUGUACCUGCAUGACAAUGUGUUCAUACAGCACUUUAUAAAAGGUAAUAGCAUUCAAAUCCAAAUACAAGACAAUUUUGAAUAUAAAGAAUUAAUCACGUCAAUUUGGAGGGAUUAUUGGAACAAAAAAGUGACAAUUAAAUGAUACUUGAUUUCUACCUCCUUUCUAAGGCAAUUUCCAACUUUGGAAAUAUAACUCUGGGGAGUGAUAUUAAAGUGGCUCAAACAAAUUUAAAAAUAAUUAAAAAUGGCUCUAUAAUAAAUUUUUAAAGCCAAAGAAUUUUCAAAAAUCUCAGUUAUUUAGAGACAUUGGAUCUGCAGAAUUUUAACAUAUCACAUUUACUAGUUGUUUUUUUCAUUUCUUGAUGCUACUUGUAUUUUCUCAUUUUUAUAUUAACUUUGUAUAACUUGUUUUAAAUAAUUGAAAGACAAAGUAAGUAGCAGAUAGCUCAUUGGCCUAUAAUUUCUUUUAUUGUUGUUUUGUUUUUCUUUUUGGUGUUGGACUGGGGAUUAAACCCAGCAGCACUUAACCACCCACUCAUAUUCCCAGCCUUUUAAAAAUAUUUUUAUUUUGAGAAAGGCAAGUUUUCAAAAACUGAAAAUUUGUUCACCUAUCAAUAUUUUUACAAAGAAACUUUAAAACAAAUGAAGAAAAAAGA